CAGGACUUUAAUCAUAGGUUCAUUUUAUCUUAAUCUGAGGUUAAUCCCAGGACUUUAAUCAUAGGUUUAUCUUAAUCUGAGGUUAAUCCCAGGACUUUAAUCAUAGGUUUAUCUUAAUCUGAGGUUAAUCCCAGGACUUUAAUCCUAGGUUUAUCUUAAUCUGAGGUUAAUCCCAGGACUUUAAUCAUAGGUUCAUUUUAUCUCAAUCUGAGGUUAAUCCCAGGACUUUAAUCAUAGGUUCAUUUUAUCUUAAUCUGAGGUUAAUCCCAGGACUUUAAUCAUAGGUUUAUCUUAAUCUGAGGUUAAUCCCAGGACUUCAAUCAUAGGUUCAUUUUAUCUCAAUCUGAGGUUAAUCCCAGGACUUUAAUCAUAGGUUCAUUUUAUCUUAAUCUGAGGUUAAUCCCAGGACUUUAAUCAUAGGUUUAUCUUAAUCUGAGGUUAAUCCCAGGACUUUAAUCAUAGGUUCAUUUUAUCUUAAUCUGAGGUUAAUCCCAGGACUUUAAUCAUAGGUUCAU